UACGGGGGGCAAGCGUUGUUCGGAAUUACUGGGCGUAAAGGGUUCGUAGGUGGCCGACUAAGUCAGACGUGAAAUCCCUCAGCUCAACUGGGGAACUGCGUCUGAGACUGGCCGGCUUGAGUGCAGGAGAGGAACGCGGAAUUCCAGGUGUAGCGGUGAAAUGCGUAGAUAUCUGGAGGAACACCGGUGGCGAAGGCGGCGUUCUGGACUGCUACUGACACUGAGGAACGAAAGCCAGGGGAGCAAACGGG
rnacentral:rRNA from 1 species